rnacentral:lncRNA from 1 species
UGCAAAGCUAGUUGCAACUCGUCUGAAGUAUCUAGUACCAAGUCAAAAGAAGUGUCAAAUUGAUAGACUGAGUUUUUAAUCUGGUGAGAACUUUCGCCGAACACCUGGUCCACAUGACCUGAAUGUGCAUUUCCCAUAACAAAUCUGUCCCAGUUACAACGAGGUUUGUGUCGAUUAAAGUAUCAAUCACCUCAAGAUGUACCUCGAAAUUAUUCACAAUGCUUGAGUUUUCAUAGCCCAAAGAAGAAGCAAUCUCUUUUCUAACCAUCGUAGUAGCACUAGUAGUAGUUGCAUCUUCUACUGGAACCUCUUGAAUUAUUGUUGGUGAUAAGCCCAUGUAAUUGGGUGUACUGGAAGUUGAGAUGUAGAUUUUGUCUAGGUUGUCCUGUAACUUCUAUAGCAAAGUUAGAAUACUGGUAAGUUGUCAGUGCAGCAUAGGGGACUUUGGAGAGGUUCGUGCUUGAAAACGCAAAGCUAACUUCUCUUUGAAAUGCUUCCAAUUCCAAAAGUGUUUGUUGCGAUACAUCCAACUGAACCACUCGAGGGCCUCACCAUCGAGAUAGUAGGAAGGAAGAGGUAGCCAGUGUUCCUCUGAGAAGCCCAGGUAAGUGAAGUAUUGCUCUGCCCUAGAAAUCCAGUCCUCUGGAUUAUUGGUUCCAUUGAAGCGAUCUAAUACCAUCACUGCCAUUAGAGUACGAAAAUGAAAGAACCAAUGUAACGAACCCGAAUUCUCAACUCAAUAAUCACUACACAAAGUGAACGAAACUAAUCAACUUUGAUUAAUACAAAAAGGCAAAAUUACAAUAUGAAGAAGAAGAAUAGUAAAUGGGGAUGAGAGGAUUAGAGAGGAUUGGGGAUGAGAAGCAUAACCUUCGUCUAAGCAAUUA